rnacentral:rRNA from 1 species
AACGAACGCUGGCGGCGCGUUUUAAGCAUGCAAGUCGAACGGCAAGCACUGUAGCAAUAUGGUGCUGAGAGUGGCGAACGGGUGAGUAACACGUAGGUGAUCUACCCUUGGAUGGGGGAUAGUCCGUGGAAACACGGGGUAAUACCGCAUGAGGCCUUGUGGAUAGAGCCAUGAGGUGAAAGGUGCAAUUGCACCGUCUGGGGAUGAGCAUGCGCUCCAUUAGGUAGUUGGCGGGGUAAGAGCCCACCAAGCCUCCGAUGGAUAGCCGGCCUGAGAGGGUGUACGGCCACACUGGAACUGAGACACGGUCCAGACUCCUACGGGAGGCAGCAGCUAAGAAUCUUCCGCAAUGGGGGAAACCCUGACGGAGCGACGCCGCGUGGACGAUGAAGGCCGUAAGGUUGUAAAGUCCUUUUGCAGGAGAAGAAUAAAUCAGGGAGUGGAAAGCCCUGGUGAUGGCGUUAUCCUGCGAAUAAGCCCCGGCCAAUUACGUGCCAGCCGCCGCGGUAAAAC